rnacentral:rRNA from 1 species
AUCGAACGCUGGCGGCAGGCUUAACACAUGCAAGUCGAGCGGGGGAAGGUAGCUUGCUACCGGACCUAGCGGCGGACGGGUGAGUAAUGCUUAGGAAUCUGCCUAUAGUGGGGGACAACAUCUCGAAAGGGAUGCUAAUACCGCAUACGUCCUACGGGAGGAAGCAGGGGAUCUUCGGACCUUGCGCUAAUAGAUGAGCCUAAGUCGGAUUAGCUAGUUGGUGGGGUAAAGGCCUACCAAGGCGACGAUCUGUAGCGGGUCUGAGAGGAUGAUCCGCCACACUGGGACUGAGACACGGCCCAGACUCCUACGGGAGGCAGCAGUGGGGAAUAUUGGACAAUGGGGGGAACCCUGAUCCAGCCAUGCCGCGUGUGUGAAGAAGGCCUUAUGGUUGUAAAGCACUUUAAGCGAGGAGGAGGCUACUCUAGUUAAUACCUAGGGAUAGUGGACGUUACUCGCAGAAUAAGCACCGGCUAACUCUGUGCCAGCAGCCGCCGUAA